CUGCGACUAUCCCUACCUCACCAUGGCUUACCACGGCCGCUGUAUUGUAGUCCUGUGAUCAGUUGGUAGAUGUCAGCUGGUAUCUAAAGUCAGUCACCUGCAAUUGAUGCCUUCAAUCAACAACUGUCAGUCAAGAAAGUCAAUGCCAGCAACUGUCAGUCGGUGUCAGCAUCAGAUAACCUGUAUAGAUUGGUGUCAGGGUUCACCGUGUGACAAAUAAAUUGUAAAUUAUUA